rnacentral:rRNA from 1 species
CGCUAGCGACAGGCUUAACACAUGCAAGUCGAGGGGCAGCAUAAAAGUAGCAAUACUUGGUGGCGACCGGCGCACGGGUGAGUAACGCGUAUGCAACCUACCUAUCAGAGGGGAAUAACCCGGCGAAAGUCGGACUAAUACCGCAUAAAACAGGGACACCGCAUGGUGAUAUUUGUUAAAGAAAUUCGCUGAUAGAUGGGCAUGCGUUCCAUUAGGUAGUUGGUGAGGUAACGGCUCACCAAGCCGACGAUGGAUAGGGGAACUGAGAGGUUGGUCCCCCACACUGGUACUGAGACACGGACCAGACUCCUACGGGAGGCAGCAGUGAGGAAUAUUGGUCAAUGGGCGAGAGCCUGAACCAGCCAAGUCGCGUGAAGGAAGAAGGAUCUAUGGUUCGUAAACUUCUUUUGCAGGGGAAUAAAGUGCAGGACGUGUCCUGUUUUGUAUGUACCCUGAGAAUAAGGAUCGGCUAACUCCGUGCCAGCCGCCGC